rnacentral:rRNA from 1 species
GGGUUGUGAGGUUAAGCGACUAAGCGUACACGGUGGAUGCCCUGGCAGUCAGAGGCGAUGAAGGACGUGCUAAUCUGCGAUAAGCGCCGGUAAGGUGAUAUGAACCGUUAUAACCGGCGAUUUCCGAAUGGGGAAACCCAGNGUUAACUGAAUACAUAGGUUAACGAAGCGAACCGGGGGAACUGAAACAUCUAAGUACCCCGAGGAAAAGAAAUCAACCGAGAUUCCCCCAGUAGCGGCGAGCGAACGGGGAGCAGCCCAGAGUCUGAAUCAGCUUGUGUGUUAGUGGAAGCGUCUGGAAAGUCGCAGGGUACAGGGUGAUACUCCCGUACACGAAAACACACUUGCUGUGAACUCGAAGAGUAGGGCGGGACACGUGGUAUCCUGUCUGAAUAUGGGGGGACCAUCCUCCAAGGCUAAAUACUCCUGACUGACCGAUAGUGAACCAGUACCGUGAGGGAAAGGCGAAAAGAACCCCGGCGAGGGGAGUGAAAAAGAACCUGAAACCGUGUACGUACAAGCAGUGGGAGCACCUUCGGGUGUGACUGCGUACCUUUUGUAUAAUGGGUCAGCGACUUAUAUUCUGUAGCAAGGUUAACCGUAUAGGGGAGCCGAAGGGAAACCGAGUCUUAACUGGGCGUUAAGUUGCAGGGUAUAGACCCGAAACCCGGUGAUCUAGCCAUGGGCAGGUUGAAGGUUGGGUAACACUAACUGGAGGACCGAACCGACUAAUGUUGAAAAAUUAGCGGAUGACUUGUGGCUGGGGGUGAAAGGCCAAUCAAACCGGGAGAUAGCUGGUUCUCCCCGAAAGCUAUUUAGGUAGCGCCUCGUGAACUCAUCUUCGGGGGUAGAGCACUGUUUCGGCUAGGGGGUCAUCCCGACUUACCAACCCGAUGCAAACUGCGAAUACCGAAGAAUGUUAUCACGGGAGACACACGGCGGGUGCUAACGUCCGUCGUGAAGAGGGAAACAACCCAGACCGCCAGCUAAGGUCCCAAAGUCAUGGUUAAGUGGGAAACGAUGUGGGAAGGCACAGACAGCCAGGAUGUUGGCUUAGAAGCAGCCAUCAUUUAAAGAAAGCGUAAUAGCUCACUGGUCGAGUCGGCCUGCGCGGAAGAUGUAACGGGGCUAAACCAUGCACCGAAGCUGCGGCAGCGACACUAUGUGUUGUUGGGUAGGGGAGCGUUCUGUAAGCCGUUGAAGGUGUCCUGUGAGGGAUGCUGGAGGUAUCAGAAGUGCGAAUGCUGACAUAAGUAACGAUAAUGCGGGUGAAAAACCCGCACGCCGGAAGACCAAGGGUUCCUGUCCAACGUUAAUCGGGGCAGGGUGAGUCGACCCCUAAGGCGAGGCCGAAAGGCGUAGUCGAUGGGAAACAGGUUAAUAUUCCUGUACUUGGUGUUACUGCGAAGGGGGGACGGAGAAGGCUAUGUUGGCCGGGCGACGGUUGUCCCGGUUUAAGCGUGUAGGUGUGUGUUCCAGGUAAAUCCGGUUCACUUUAACACUGAGGCGUGAUGACGAGGCACUACGGUGCUGAAGUGACAAAUGCCCUGCUUCCAGGAAAAGCCUCUAAGCAUCAGGUAACACGAAAUCGUACCCCAAACCGACACAGGUGGUCAGGUAGAGAAUACCAAGGCGCUUGAGAGAACUCGGGUGAAGGAACUAGGCAAAAUGGUGCCGUAACUUCGGGAGAAGGCACGCUGAUAUGUAGGUGAAGCGGUUUACCCGUGGAGCUGAAAUCAGUCGAAGAUACCAGCUGGCUGCAACUGUUUAUUAAAAACACAGCACUGUGCAAACACGAAAGUGGACGUAUACGGUGUGACGCCUGCCCGGUGCCGGAAGGUUAAUUGAUGGGGUUAUCCGUAAGGAGAAGCUCUUGAUCGAAGCCCCGGUAAACGGCGGCCGUAACUAUAACGGUCCUAAGGUAGCGAAAUUCCUUGUCGGGUAAGUUCCGACCUGCACGAAUGGCGUAAUGAUGGCCAGGCUGUCUCCACCCGAGACUCAGUGAAAUUGAACUCGCUGUGAAGAUGCAGUGUACCCGCGGCAAGACGGAAAGACCCCGUGAACCUUUACUAUAGCUUGACACUGAACACUGGUCCUUGAUGUGUAGGAUAGGUGGGAGGCUUUGAAGUGUGGACGCCAGUCUGCAUGGAGCCAUCCUUGAAAUACCACCCUUUAAUGGCUGGUGUUCUAACGUGGGCCC